ACCCGCUGGGGGCUUUUCAUUAAGACUACAGGAUAAAUGAACGGCUGUUCUGUUAUACUGUGAACCUCGUUUUAUGUUUGAAGUGAUUUUAUAGGGGAGAGUAUCCGCAGAGCAGUGAACCUGGUGAACCACAACAUAGAAAGAAAAACUUGUGCCAUUUCUGCUCAACACAAUGUGAGGUGUUCAGCAGACGAAGAGAAACAGACGAGUUAAAUGGAAGCACUUAGGAGUGUGAGGACAGCCUGUAUCUGUAGUAGAGAACCAGACAAGGCAGAGGCAUACAUCAGGUCAUAGGGGAAGAGAUGCCGAGACUGGAGACGAGGCUCGCUGAUUAAAUGUCAAGCAGUGGAGCUCCUAGGUCUGUCUCUGGUUCUGCCAUAGCUAUUAAUGCCAGACUCUGUGAAAGAAGAGCAGCAGGA